AACGCUGGCGGCGUGCCUAACACAUGCAAGUCGAACGAAGCGCCUCGCCCGAUGAAGUGGAGUGCUUGCACAAAGCAGAAUCAAUUGAGGCGACUUAGUGGCGGACGGGUGAGUAACGCGUGGGUAACCUGCCGUAUGCAGGGGGAUAACAGUUAGAAAUGACUGCUAAUACCGCAUAAGCGCACAGUAUCGCAUGAUACAGUGUGAAAAGCCGAGACGGCAUACGAUGGACCCGCGUCUGAUUAGCCAGUUGGCAGGGUAACGGCCUACCAAAGCAACGAUCAGUAGCCGGCCUGAGAGGGUGAACGGCCACAUUGGGACUGAGACACGGCCCAAACUCCUACGGGAGGCAGCAGUGGGGGAUAUUGCACAAUGGGGGAAACCCUGAUGCAAGCGACGCCGCGUGAGUGAAGAAGUAUUUCGGUAUGUAAAGCUCUAUCAGCAGGGAAGAAAAUGACGGUACCUGACUAAGAAGCUCCGGCUAAAUACGUGCCAGCAGCCGC
rnacentral:rRNA from 1 species